GCUGGGCAUGGUGGUGCACGCCUGUAAUCCCAGCUACUCAGGAGGCUGAGGCAGAAGAAUCGCUUGAACCCAGGAGGCAGAGGUUGCAGUGAGCUGAGAUUGCGCCAAUGCAAUCCAGCCUGGGUGACAGAGUGAGACUCUGCCUCAA
ensembl:misc_RNA Metazoa_SRP Metazoan signal recognition particle RNA